UUUUUAUAAUCUACAGAUUUUACGCUCAGGCUAAGCAAAAAAUAACUUUUUUUCGCUCCACCCUAAAAUGUAUGUAUAUGCAACUAAUAUUUUGGUGCUGAUUACUUUAUUUUGUGUACAAGUACAUGUCCAUUUCCUACAAAAGUAUAGAUAAGAGAAAGAGUCCAAUGUUUCUGAUAAACAAAAUCUUUAAAUUAGUGAAAUCAAAAAUAUCUAUAAAUAACUUACAUAGAAAAUUGUAAGUUUGUAUAUGUAAGAUUAAAUCAAACAUUAAUUUAACAAAUAAUAUUAUUUAAUCUAGAGUAACAACUAGUUGUUUCUUCAGUGCGAAUUGACCUAAUUGUAACAAAAUAAAUAUUAAUUCGAUUCUUGUUUAAAUCCCUAUACAAAAAAUCAUUUGUUUUUACUUUUGUUUAAUAUAUAAUAUAAUAUUUUUUACUUGCAUUAUUCAGUGGUUAAAAUUUAUAUUACCAGGUGUUGACAAAACAUUUUUCUUCGUGUCCGAGAUGUUUAUAUUAAAAUCAAUAUAAUUAACUCAAAUAUACAUAACAAAAAUAACAUAGGUAUAUAUAAAUACAUAUGUGAUAUAAAUUCAACCACAGACGCUAAAUUUAAUAUAUUGGGUUCAUGUAAAAAAACAUCAAGAGGACGAAAAUCUCUAUAUUAGGGAUAUGAGGUUUACGUUUUAGGUCUAGACCAAUUUCGGUCAUAUUCAACGCACUUUACUUUAAAGAAAACUUCUCCACUUAAUUAAAUUCAUUAAUAUAUCACACAUAUUGACCGACACAGACAGGUUUAAAUUAAGGUGGAAAUCACUAUAUGUUAUAUGUAUAUUGGGAUAAGGGACAGCUUAAGACUAAUUGCAUUAACUUUUUACAUUGUUUACCAAUACUCGAAAACAUAUUUUCACUUAAUUUUGUGAAGACAGAAAAAUUCUCAAAUUUAUGUUUUUCUUAUCGUUUACUUCACAUGGGAAAAAUCUCCCAUAUUCGAAAAUGUUCCCUAACUGUAAAUGUAAUAUUUUUCAUGUGAAAUCAUAAAAUUCGUUCACAAAGCCGUUAAGAGCGAAAAACUAACUUUAAAAUGUAAUGUAAACAACUUUUUUUAUUAAACAAGCUCUAUUAAUAAAGCACAUUAAACGUGUUUGGUCAACACCAAAGAAAAUGUAAACGCAUAUUGGAAGAAGUUGCAUGAUUCCCUUAACAGCAUGGGGUCACGAUUGAAAUCAAUUGCAGUAUGGAAAAAGACUUCCAAAACAGGUUUGGAUAGACCAGAAAAGAUAUGUUCGGGGUCCAGAAUGCGCAAAAUAAAAAAAGACCGGCGGUGGACCGUGUAAAGAGUUUCUGUUCUGGAAUAGUCCAUUUUGGAUUUAACAGCAACAAUUCAAAGCGUGGAAGGUGGCAGAGCUUUUGGUUUACAAACUAGGUCAACUAACACAAUUGAUAGCAACCUGUGCGAGACAAGCAAGAAUAAAGAAUAUGAUGUAGGCCCAGAAACAGAGGAGCAAAGUUUUAUGAACAAUAGCUUUGACUUGCGAAAGUAUCAGUGAAUACAAACGAAAAAAAAAA